CUGGUUCUGGCCUUCCGGUGCUUCCUGCAGCAGGAGUUCUCCACUUGCUCUGCUUCUGGGGAUUUAACAGCAGCUGGCUACACGGAAGGUUUUCCUGGCAUGGAGGGAAAAUCCCUUUCCAACUCCAGAUGUGAAUGAAGAAGAAAAGAGUCUGCCAAGCCUUCCCACAUGUUAGUUCAAGCUAUCCAGCUGCGGCCUACAGCUUCAGAGGAAAGAGGGCAAGCCUAACAACUUUGAGAGGUCCAGAAAUUCAGAACUUUGUGCUGUGGCUCAAGGAGUCUGACAUGAUGAUGUUUUUGUAGAAGUUGUCUGAACUGUACAUCUCCACUGAAAUGAAUUCGACUCUUCAGCUGUUCUGUGGACAUGUAUUGCCUGCAGGUUUACACAUGAGGAUGAAACUACAUGCUAAAGUAGAUUUGCAUCUGCCACUGAAAAUUGUAGCCCAGUGUGAAAGUUCACUGCUGCAAUUUGCAGCAUUGUAUAUCUUGCAUUGUUACAUUGUGAUGAUGUGUGUUAUCGUAAUCUGU